CUGGAGAAACAGCAACAUAAUCUCAUGCGGCUCCCAGACCUGGAGCGGGAGGUGGCUUUGCUCCGAGAUGAAAAUGGGAACCUUAGGUUUACUCCGUGUUUCAUUUAAUGUUUUGUGCCUUAUUAAUGCUUUAUUUAAUAAUUUUAUCAGGUGUAAAUGUUGUAUACUAUUGAAGAAAGUAGAUUUAUCCAAUGUCUAAGCACCAUUUGGACAUAUGUGGUGCGUGAACACAAAACUCCACAUGCCCUUAACCAAGCCAGUAGAAGGAGGUGAGUCAUCAGUUCUACACAUUGGCUACUUCAGGACAGGAAGAUGGGCAGACUCAAAAUCCCUUAUGGGUAUAGUGGUAAAGUGAAUAUUCCUUCCCCUAACUGAUAUCAAACCUAAUAUCCUGAUUUCUCCAGUGCUAAAUUAUUUUCAGCAAGUUAUUUCACGUUUAUUACGUGAAUAAUUUAUAUCUUUAUAUUCACAAUUACUAUUCCAAAGAUGGCAUCUAAGUUGGCUCCCUCAAGGAGAUCGAAUAUAUCUUCACUGAUCAGAUUCCUUGUGUUUCAUGGACACCACAGUGCAAUGAGCAGGAGAUGCAGUGCUCAAUAAGCUUAUACUGGAGGAAGAGCUGAUGAACCUUUGAUGAUGCCAGACAGAUGGCAGGGCCAGAAUUACUUAGGAUGAGGAUUGAAACACUGCAAUAGAAAGAGCUCUUACUUACUGCGGACGUGGGGCACCUUGAUUCUAGGUCAGUCUGUACAGUUUGAAUGCAGAUUGAUGCUGCUUCAAUUUCUGGGUUCUGCAGCAUUGAAUGAGAUGGAGAGAUGAUUGUGAAUGUCCAUAGCCUGGGUAGAGAAGGAUCAAGGAGCAUUUCCAUGAACCUAUCGUGGGAGCUGCUAGCGUACCAAGGGGAGUGCCAACCAAUAGGACACCAUACAAUGGAACACCAAAUGUCAACCUCGCUGGUACGUUUCUGUUUUAUGUAACUGAAAACAUAAUGUGCAUUUUUGUGAUGCUAUGAAAUCUGCCCUUGAACAUUAACAGGACAAUGUUUGUUGCAGUGGCCAGCCUUGAAAUUAAAUUAUUUGCAUUUUGAGAUUCCUGUGUAUGAUAAUAUCGUGCGGGAAGUGUUCUGUAGCAAGUACUCAUGAUAUCUGAA